AAUAAACGAAUUUAUGAGUUUUUAGAUAGAAUUUUUGAGUGAACGUCUUAUUUGAAAAAUUAUGAUUAAUAUUUUUGUUAUUAUUACGUGAUAAAACAUGAACAGUACUUUACAUGUGACUAAUUUUUUUUCAAUUUUUUAAUAAAUUUUUCAAAUAAGACGGAUGAUCAAACGCUCUAUACACAAAACUCAGA
rnacentral:pre_miRNA from 1 species